rnacentral:rRNA from 1 species
GACGAACGCUGGCGGCGUGCUUAACACAUGCAAGUCGAGCGAUGAAGCACCUUCGGGUGUGAAUUAGCGGCGAACGGGUGAGGAACACGUGAGAAAUCUGCCUUCAACUCUGGGAUAACUCCGCGAAAACGGGGCUAAUACCGGAUAUGAAACCUGCGGGCAUCCGCGGGUUUGGAAAGUUUUUCGGUUGAAGAUGAUCUCGCGGCCUAUCAGCUUGUUGGUGAGGUAAUGGCUUACCAAGGCGACGACGGGUAGCCGGCCUGAGAGGGCGACCGGCCACACUGGGACUGAGACACGGCCCAGACUCCUACGGGAGGCAGCGGUGGGGAAUAUUUGGCAAUGGAGGAAACUCUGACCCAGCGACGCCGCGUGCGGGAUGAAGGCCUUCGGGUUGUAAACCGCUUUCAGCAGGGAAGAAGCGAAAGUGACGGUACCUGCAGAAGAAGCACCGGCUAACUAUGUGCCAGCAGCCGCCGUAA